GCCUUUGUAGUGUAAUGGUUAUCACAUCGGAUUCUGAUUCCGGUAAUCCUGGUUCGAUUCCAGGCAGGGGCU
rfam:Aspergillus zonatus CBS 506.65 unplaced genomic scaffold ASPZOscaffold_18, whole genome shotgun sequence.